CUGGAGAAAAGCUUUAGCCAAGAAAGAGGACCAGACUGGAUUUCCACUUUGGCGGGAGAAUCUAAUUUUAUCCGGAACUUCAGCCCUGCGCUUGGAGAGAGCCCUAGGACGCAGGGCUAAUGGAACGUGAAGUAUGGACUUUUUCGACCGAAAAUACAUCUGUUGUGGACCUGGGAUGCUUUCUGAUGAAGACAACUAAAGGUUAACGACCUCUGCCUGACCUGACCCUGAGCCCGCCUGCUGUCCUGUAUCUUACACCCUCUCUGGAUUAUUGACCCUGCCUGCCUUGACCUGUCAUUGGCCUGCCCCUGUUUGAGGAAUAUACUUUAGUUUCUUCAACACUGUCUGCACCUGGGUCAUAUCCUAACAUGUGAUACAUUACCAUGCUUUCAAAGCACUUAAUGGUUACCUGUCAACAAGCUUCAUGAGGUAGUCACCUGGAAUGCAUUUCAAUUAACAGGUGUGCCUUGUUGACAGUCAAUUUGUGGAAUUUCUUUCCUUCUUAAUGCGUUUGAGCCAAUCAGUUGUGUUGUGACAAGGUAGG
rnacentral:lncRNA from 1 species